rnacentral:rRNA from 1 species
UACAGAGGGGGCAAGCGUUGUUCGGAAUUACUGGGCGUAAAGGGCGCGUAGGCGGCCUGUUAAGUCGAACGUGAAAUCCCCGGGCUCAACCCGGGAACUGCGUCCGAUACUGGCAGGCUUGAAUUCGGGAGAGGGAUGCGGAAUUCCAGGUGUAGCGGUGAAAUGCGUAGAUAUCUGGAGGAACACCGGUGGCGAAGGCGGCAUCCUGGACCGACAUUGACGCUGAGGCACGAAAGCGUGGGGAGCAAACAGG